GUAGGUCCAGGUGACUGGGACACGGGAGGGCUCCAGACAGCCGCUAUUUGCCACACGGAACCAAAGCAUUUCACUGUUUUAACAAGCGGUUCAGCUGGUCCGGAGUAUCCCUGCUGGCUCUCAGCCCUAAAGUGGCGUGAGGGCUGGGCACGUCGACAGCACUUGAUCCGCUCCUUCCCUCUGGAAAUGCAUUUCCUUCCAUUACCAGAACAGCCUCUCACAGUUUGGCCUGCCUCUUCUCAUGCUAUGUCGAAACAAAGCCACCUGCCUCCCAUGAAAGACGGCAUUGUUUUUCCACCUGAGCCACCCACACCUGGGCAGGUAGAACAGCGGGUCCCCACUCCAGGGAGCUCUCCCACUCGGGCCUGUCAUGGCUCACACCCCGAGCAGCUGCUGUGCUUGCCCUGUGUGGAGGGUAGCAGGGUGCCUCCUGGGCAGCAGAAUGGUGGGGUGCACUGGAUAACGAGACAGUGGGUGUGGCUCCCAUGAAAUAAACAACCCCUGGGCAUUGCACAUUCAGGCACAGUGCUGCAGUUUUCUUAAAGAUGUAAUUAUCUCUGGGAAAGCUACUCUCCUCAGAGCUCACCGACCCUUGGGGGAUAAAAUGUUGACAAAGGAAGAAAUGUAUGAGAUUUUGUUUUGUUUUGUUUUUCUUUAGACAAUUGAGCCACCCACAAUCACAGUUAUGUAAAAGUCUCACUCCUGUAAUCCCAGCACUUUGGGAGGCUGAGGCGGGUGGAUCACUUGAGGUCAGGAGUUCCAGGCCAGCCUGGCCAACGUGGAGAAACCCCGUCUCUGCUAAAAAUACAAAAAUUAGCCAGGCGUGGUGGUGCAUGCCUGUAGUCCCAGCUACUUGGGAGGCUGAGACACAAGAAUGGCUUGAACCGGGGAGGCAGAGGUCGCAGUGAGCUGAGCUCGCACCACUGCACUCCAGCCUGGGCGACAGAGAGAGACUCUGUCUCAAAAAACAAACAAACAAAACAAAAAAACACACUUCCAUAAAAGCAAAUUCUCAUAACUGAAGUCUCCAGGAAAAGAGCAAAGACCAGAACCCCGAGCAUACGAGUGAGGGUCAGGUGCAGGCCCUCAGGGUGGGGUCUAGGGGCACUAAACCCAGGCUGCUUCCACUGCUGGCUGCUUCAAGGGCUGGUGUUGCUAGGGGUGUGGCCCUGUCUUUAAAAUGCCUGUUAAGACAUAGAUUACCUGGGCAGAGCCUUUGAGAUGAGUUUUUAAAUUUAGUGGAGUGCCUCAUCUGAGACCUUCAGGCAAGAGUGGAGCACAGAGGAAAGGGGGUAUGUGGCAUGGCAUUCUGCGUGUGGGGGUGGGGAGGGGGAGAGAGAAAUGCAGAGAGAGAAGGCACCAGCCACAAGGCUUGUCGAUGAGAGGUGGCCUGAAGACCCUGGGCCCCUCAGGGCUGGCACUCCUGCAGCUCUUGUUGUCUCUGCCCUGCCACAGAGCACAUAUGCUCACACCUACAACUUCUCCAUUCUGACAUCAGCAAAGGGACAGCAAGUUUUAUGCUUCAGGUUGUUUUCUUGCCUCCAGUCCUGAAAAGCAAACCUGUAGGUGCUGGACCCACAGAGCACCUCUGAGCCAUCCUGUCUGCACCUCCAGGUGCCUGCAUGUCCCCGCAGGCCCAGGACUCCUCUGUGCUGGCUGGGCAACUCUUGCUCACUUCCGUUUCUCACAGCCUCCUCUUCCCCCUUUCUCCCGUCUUUGUCAUUUUUAAUCGUCUCACUUUCCUGUCCACCUUCUCACAGUGUCUUUCUCAAGAGAGAAGCAAACUGCGGGUCAAAGUGCACCACCAGCCACCAACAGCUAGCUUCCGGAUCAAGUAGGAUGGAAAUGGUUUAUUCCUCCAAAGACUCUUAAAAGAGCAGCCCCUGCUGCAGAAUAGAAAGAGGCUCCAGAGGAGCAGUGAGCUCGAGGAACCCCCCUGAAGAUCCCCAGUUUCUGUAUGCAGCUGCAUCAGGCCCAGACAAAUUCUUCCAUCUGGAGCGUGUCCCCGCAGAUCUUCCCAGCCGCGGCUGUGGUCCGCGUUAUCUCAGGCUGUCAGGUCUCAGAAAUUAGAAACCAUCUCAUUUCAUCAGGGUCAUCCCACACCGUCUGCCACCAUAGAUGGAGAGGAUUUCAAGUGAUGUUUUCUGAAGAUGGUUCUGUUGUCCCGGGAGAGCCCUUGGCGGACAUGGUAGUGCCAGUCAGAGCCCUUGACGCUGUGCAGCCAGGUGGCUUAUUGUCCCAGUGACUUUCCAACCAGAUACUCUCAGUCAGAGUGAAGGGCUCCACUUAGAAACUCCCUUUCCCAUUAACUCGUCAGAGUUAUGCCAUUCCUCUUUAUUCUUUUUAAAAUAUUUAUACUCAAAGAAAUUGUAUGGGGAGUGAGCACACACCAAUCAUAUAACUGUCAAAUGAAAGCCUUUCCUUAAAUGUUCAAGGGCGCCGGAGGAAUAAAUUUGGAGUCAUGCAGAUCUUGUUUCACGAGUGUGUACAUGUGUAUGAAACUUUAUGUGGGUGGAAAACCAACAAGAGAAAAAAGAGAGCAGAAACUGUUGUGUGAUUGCGUUUUCCUGCCCGAGACAUCCUGUGCUCUGCAUCUGAUAACCUGCCACCAACAGGGCUCCACCACAUUGCCCAGGCUGGUCUCAAAGUCCUAGGCUCAUGCGAUCCUCCCACCUCAACCUCCCAAAGUGCUGGAACUACAGGUGUCAGCCACAGCCCCCUGUGAGGAUGCUUAAUCACUCGAGGACGGUAUAAAGGUACAGAAGAACAGCGAGCCACAGGUGGGCCUCAUCCCAUCAGCUGAAGGCCUUACAGGAACAAAGAUUGACCUCCCAGUAUAAGAAGUAAUCUGCCAGCAGGCUGCCUUUGGACUCCAACUGCAACUCUUCCCUGGGUUUCCAGCCUGCCAGCCUACCCUGCAGACUUUGGACUUGCACCUCCACAACCAUACCAGAACCCACCGGAAGCCUCCAGGUGCUGCAGUGAGGAGGAGCUGGAACCCUUCUCCUCCAGGUGCCAGCUCGCGCUGCUGUGGUUCUCAUCUGUAGAGGACGUGGACCAUCCAGGGAAUCACCUGCAGCUGACAGAGGAAACUCUGAAGCCCACCAGGCCUGUACAGACUGGGGAAACACCAGUGCCUGAGGAUAGUGGCUAAACUGCCAGAGAACAUGGGGCUGAGGUGGAGCCUGGAUGACUCUUCUGCCUCUGAGCAAAGCUGCUUGCCCUACACACAACAGUAUUGUCUUAACAUCUGCUGAGUUCCCAGGUCCUCUUAGCAGCAGGCAGAGGCAUUCAGAGCCCAGACCCCAAAGACAUGCUGAUCUGGUUUAAACCUGACUGUGCUACUCAUCAACUGGGGGACCUAGGCAGGUUACAUUGUCUUUUUGUGCCUCAGUUUCCUCAUCUAUAGAAUAGAGGUAUUCUAGUUUCCUGUGAUUUCUGUAAUAAAUUUACAAACUUUGUAACAAAUUACCACAAAUUUGGUGGCUUCAAACGAUAGAAAUUUAUUCUCUCACAAACCUGGAGACCAAAAGUCUAAAGUCUCUAUCAUUGGACUGAAAUAAAAGUGCAGGUGGGGCCAGACACAGUGGCUCACACUUGUAAUCCCAGCACUUCGGGAGGCCAAGGCGGGCGGAUCAUGAGGUUAGGAGUUUGAGACAAGCCUGGCCAAUAUGGUGAAACCCCGUCUCUACUAAAAAUACAAAAUUAGCCAGGCGUGGUGGUGCAUGCCUGUAAUCCCAGCUACUUGGGAGGCUGAGGCAGGUGUAUCUCUUGAAACCAGGAGGCGGAGGUUGCGGUGAGCCAAAAUCAUGCCAUUGCAC
rnacentral:lncRNA from 10 species